GAUCCUGGCUCAGGAUGAACGCUAGCGACAGGCUUAACACAUGCAAGUCGAGGGGCAGCGAGGGAGUGGCAACACUUCCGUCGGCGACCGGCGCACGGGUGAGUAACGCGUAUGCAACCUGCCCUUCACAGGGGGAUAACCGGGAGAAAUUCCGACUAAUACCGCAUACGUCCUCCGGGGGCAUCCCCGGGGGAUGAAAGAAUUAUCGGUGAAGGAUGGGCAUGCGUGAUAUUAGGGUAAGUUGGCGGGGCAACCGGG
rnacentral:rRNA from 1 species